UACGUAGGGGGCAAGCGUUGUCCGGAAUCAUUGGGCGUAAAGCGCGCGUAGGCGGCUCGGCAAGUCCGCUGUGAAAGUCGGGGGCUCAACCCUGGAAAGGCGGUGGAUACUGUCGGGCUAGAGUGCGGAAGAGGCGAGUGGAAUUCCUGGUGUAGCGGUGAAAUGCGCAGAUAUCAGGAGGAACACCGAUUGCGAAGGCAGCUCGCUGGGACGUAACUGACGCUGAGACGCGAAAGCGUGGGGAGCAAACAGG
rnacentral:rRNA from 1 species